AAGCCCUGGAAACGGGGUCUAAUACCGGAUAACACCCUCGCAGGCAUCUGCGAGGGUUAAAAGCUCCGGCGGUGCAGGAUGAGCCCGCGGCCUAUCAGCUUGUUGGUGAGGUAAUGGCUCACCAAGGCGACGACGGGUAGCCGGCCUGAGAGGGCGACCGGCCACACUGGGACUGAGACACGGCCCAGACUCCUACGGGAGGCAGCAGUGGGGAAUAUUGCACAAUGGGCGAAAGCCUGAUGCAGCGACGCCGCGUGAGGGAUGACGGCCUUCGGGUUGUAAACCUCUUUCAGCAGGGAAGAAGCGAAAGUGACGGUACCUGCAGAAGAAGCGCCGGCUAACUACGUGCCAGCAGCCGCGGUAAUACGUAGGGCGCAAGCGUUGUCCGGAAUUAUUGGGCGUAAAGAGCUCGUAGGCGGCUUGUCACGUCGAUUGUGAAAGCCCGAGGCUUAACCUCGGGUCUGCAGUCGAUACGGGCUAGCUAGAGUGUGGUAGGGGAGAUCGGAAUUCCUGGUGUAGCGGUGAAAUGCGCAGAUAUCAGGAGGAACACCGGUGGCGAAGGCGGAUCUCUGGGCCAUUACUGACGCUGAGGAGCGAAAGCGUGGGGAGCGAACAGGAUUAGAUACCCUGGUAGUCCACGCCGUAAACGGUGG
rnacentral:rRNA from 1 species